GCUCCUGCAGGGAGUCCAAGGGCGAGAGGAGACAGUUAGGGGGGAACGUCACUUGGCAGUCUGCGUUCAGAAGUACGUGUCCAUAGGGGCCGAUAAUGAUCACUCGUCUUCCCCGUUCAUAAGGAACCAGGCCUGCGGCAGUGCUGAGCGCACAGCAGGCUCGCGCAGACUGGAGAACAUUCACACCCAGGGGACCUAAGCCUUGUACGUGUGUGGAGGGAAACGGAGCUAACACUUAAUGCAGUGGUCCUCGGGCUCGGCUGCAUGUGGGACUCACCCGGGAACCCCCAAAACACCCACCGUGGAGAUGCAGGUUUAAUUGGUCUGGGCUGUGCUUGAGUGUCCGGAGCUUUCAGAUCCCCCCACAUGACUCUCCCAUGCGGCCAAGGCCCAGAACCCCUCCGGCUGGAGGCCUCAGGAUUCUUUGUUUUCUCAGAACACUUGCUUGCUUUGUCCUCCCUGAGAUCCCAGGUGUAACCAGCGUCCACCAGAUUUUUAUUCUGUCCUGGAAGCACAUGCGAAAUGGCAGGUUUCCCUGUAGGGAAACUGAGGUGAUAUUUUGAAUGGAGUCUUAGUGCUGUUUAUUUGAAAUAACAUGUAUUGUUGUGUGAUUAUCAAAAAAAGUAUUGAAAGUAUAUAGAAAAGUGUAUAGAAAAGACUUUGUAAAAAACAGACUUGCAGCUGUGCGUCACGACGCAGGUUGGGCACAGUCGUCCCUUGGUAUCUGCAGGGAAUUGGGUCCAAGAGCCCCCCCUGGAUACCAAAGUCCGAGGAUGAGCAAGUCCCUGAUACAAACUGGUGCAGUACAGUUGGCCCUUCGUAUCGGUGGGUUCCUCAUCAGUGGAUCGGAGGGCCAGCCGACUGUAUUUGUUGGGAAAAACCUGAGUAUAAGUGGACCUGUGCAGCUCCAAUCUGUGUUGUUCAAGGGUCAGCUGUGGUCUUUGCAUAUCAAGAAGCAAUCACAUGGAUAUGCUGAUGCCCAUGAUCGUUACUAGGCAUCAUUAUUAGGGAAAACGGCCCCUCCCCACUGAUCCUAAACUAGCUCUUUGAGGGCUAAAGAUCACACUUUAUCUCACUGAAUCUAGGAAUGGGCUGGAAUUUGCCCAGGAGGUGCCCAGACGCUGGUUAAUCAGCCAUGCGGCCUGAGGAGAUGGGGUCCUACCUUCCUCUCCCUGCCCUGCGGGCCGCACGCAGCCCGACAUGGGCAUGGCUGACCUCGGGGCCCUGUGCAGGAACAGCUGCAGAGAGGCCUGGAUUACCACCUGUGCUCUUCCUUUGUUUUGAGCUUCUACUCCUAGUAACUUCUGAGUGUUCAUUGGUGCUGAUUCCUAAAGGGAUGAAACCUGUAGGCCUUUAACCACAGCCUUCGGUUUUUGGAAUAGCAUUCCUGUGAGGGACACGGGUCUGUGCCUCUGAGUUAGUAGGUGUGGGUUUGUUCAAGCUGGGUUUUCAAGUUUGGCCUCCCCAGAGCACACGCCGUUUUGGGGGUAGAAAUACCUAUCUGGAAACAGCAUCAGGACUUUCCAUAAAUGUCAGAAGAUGAUUUCCUCCCCUGCCGCUGAUCUCCCCAUGCCCUGUGCUACGGUUAUGGCUGGGGACGGGUGGCAGGAAGAGACUCAAAGGAAAGCAGGUUUCAAGAGCGUCUUCAGGACAACCUCGUGAACCAGUUUAUGACUGAGAAUAAGCCAUCAUCGCCAUUUUUCUGUUUGAUUCGCUGAUUUCUCUAGGAACAAGUGGAUGAAGGCAUUCUGGAUUUCGUGAAGGUUUCUCAUCUGGCUUUUAAAAAACCCAUCAACGCUGGAAAACCCAAGGCCUCUGUGAGCAUACCAUGGCCUUUAAAGAGAGUCCUGUGCCUGGAACCCCUGAAAUAUAUACUGGGGUUAAUACACUUAAAGGUGGCUUCAGAAGCAAAGUAACAUCGAGGCCCUAAUUCCGGAACUGGCCCUGCCCGUCUGUCACUGUCUUCCGGUGGGGUGGCAGCCAUGGGAUCCGAAGGCGACUUCUGAUUUCAGGCUCCCUCCUUGUGGUUGGUCUGUCCGACUUGAUUCAGGACUUGGGCAAGGACACAUUGUCCUUCUGGUUAAAAAGCGUAUUACAGCCUGACACUGACACCCCUCAUGACCUACUUCCUGGAGAAUACAGCCGCUGGAAAAGACCCCAACUAAAGGACUCCUGCUUCCCUCCUUGGAAAGGAUCUUUUCUGGUACUGCUCGCCAGUUCCUGCACAGCUAAAUUUGAAGGCAUCCGGCCCACCUGAAAGGAGUAACAGGACCAGAAUGAACCAGCAAAGCCACAGGUGAUCUCACACUUAAGAUCUCCCGGCACCAGAAGCAGACGACCUCGGACAUAGAUGGACAGCUAUCCCAAGACAACGGGCCAGGCCUGUGUAACUUAACUUGAUUUCCGCCACUGUUCUCUUUACUGUGGAAAUCAUGAUAAGGGAAGUUAACCAGACUCCUCCACUUAUCUGUUUUCUCUCCGGGUUGCCCGUGUCUUCCAGACAAUUGCCAAGGGAGGUAACCUUUCAGACGCUGUAUUUGUCAUUUAAAACUCCGAUCUGUCUGUAAGGUUGGAGACUCCCCGGUCCUUCCUGUAACCUGAUUUUUCUUCUGUCAUCCUUGGUGCCACCUUAAGCAACAGCUGAAGUCCCUUCGAUGUCAGCUACAGUGUUAAACUUUUGCAGCCCGGUUUCCCAGUGCCUUAUUUUUACCUUUCUCCGAUCAUAACUCUCCUUGCCCCGUCUGACAAAUGCCUUGUAAACCGUAGUACAUUUGUGCCCCCAUGUUCUAAAUCAGAUGUCAGAGGAUUUGUCUCUUACCUUCUGAGAGAUGUUACACUGCUUAGGUUCAUUGUUCAGUUACAUGGGAAGCGUUGCCAACUAAGUGAUGAUAAAUCUUCUUGGGUUAUUUGUAUGUUAAUAACACUUAAUUAUUAAUAUAAUUAAGUGUUCUAGAAAUUGUGUGAAAUUCCUAAAAAUCUGAUAUGUCUUGGUAUAAUGUUAUCAGUCAUAAUUCUGGUUAUCUUAAAAUAUUGUCUGUCAAUCACAGAAAUAACCAAAUUUCCUUGUCAAUUCCAUUAUAAUGAACUCUCAUCAGAUCUUUAGCACUGGGCAUUUUUAAGUUCUUUUGUCACUGACAGUUAUUGUUUUACUGUGACGCUUUUGCAAAAGUGAGAUUCAUGGCAAGGAACCUACCAAGAACUCUUGACCACCACAUGGCUGCCACAUCACAAGGGGCCAAACCUUGGGUACGUAUUUCACACCUGAUGAAGGCUCCACCUGCCUUCCGGUCCCGUGCAAAAAAGCUGCAGCCCUCAAACCAAUCAAACCGACUAGGCACCAUCGAGACAGACGGACUGCUUCCUCCCAACAUGUCAGAGCAAGAGCGUGUCUGCCUUUCCAUUCUGCCUUCCCUCUCUGACCAUCCUUUUCCUAAUUCUCACGCUGUGAAGGCUUUUAUGAUUCUUGCUGUCCAUCUUUUUUGCUUUGCUCUGGCUUGGAAAGAUAAGCCACUGUUCACAUAUCUAAGGCCGUUGCAAAGCGGGCUAAAUCUAACCUCAAAGACUCUGAAUUAUCAAGAUGCCAGUGAUUACACUGUUCGGUCCAUCACAGACUGCUCCCUGAUUUCCAAUGCCUCCGUUUCUCUGGACCAAACAGCCAGCCCACCUUUCUGUUGUGUCCCACUCCCUAACCCUGGGGAUCUACUUCCUUGUCUCUGGUUAACACCCCGGGGAACCCUGCAACCAGGCUCUGUACAAAGAAAGGGACGCGAGGCAAGGGAAAGAGAAUAAAACCACCUGUGCUGUCUACAGACCCUUCAGGUGUACUGGCCUCCACGGCUGUCACCUUUUGGGGCCCGAGCCACAGAUGGAAACGGGAAUUACCGGGAAGCAUUCAGUGGUUCAAAAUCUGCUUCCUUUGGUGCAGCCCUACUCCGCCGGCCAGGAGCUGAUACAAAUGAGGCCACGACCAGGAAUCUCUCCUUACCUCUUGAAGGUUCCAGAAUCUGCUGGUAAAGCAACAGCUGCCCAAUGAAAAUCCCUAGACUCUCUGGCCAGAGUUGUUCUUGAAAACAAGAGAAGCCUCUGGUUGAUUAUCCUUCAGCUGAACAAGGAGAUGCCUGUGCUGUGCCCAGCACCGCCUGCUGCACCUGGAUCAACACUGCUGGGGAAGGUGAGACUCAGCCACGUGAGACUACUGAACAAACCAGUCACUUUCUCAGGCCAACAAACCAGCCCACAGGAUCUUUCUUUGGGGAUUAUUCUGCCUAUAAUACUACAGCAGUCGCCGUAGUGUGCUGUAUUCUCGCAAAAGCUUUAAAUGCAACUUUGCAGCCGCUAGCUACCAAGCAAAUGAUCUCCCUCAGAACAGAACAUCCGAAAAGGAACGAAGAGAAUGACCGACUGAAAGACCAUGAACCCAGUGCCGUGACCUGUGAAGACCACACAGAUUCAGCAAAAAAAACCCGGUAAGAACUCCAAAGCCAUAGCUGGGAGUAGCGCUAAUGCCUUAAACUUGGAUCACUUCUCUUAAUUAGGCUCAGAGUCUGAUGAAAGGGGGUAAUUGUUAAAAACAAGACAGCAGACCCAAAAUGAAGUCGCUUAGGCUAGGUUCCAUAUCACCAAACCGAGACUUAACUUUAUAGUUUCAGCUCCCCCAGAAAGGAAUCUUUAACCAGUCAAAUCGGGACUCGCCGGAUCAGCACGUCUGCCCAACAGACCCCUGCCGUCCCCUAACGGAGAGCGACUGGGCUACAACCAACCCGCUUUUUCAGCUGGUGUAACUUCCUCGUUCCCGCUCCUUUCUGCCUGCAUGUCUUCCGUUUUGUACAGCUCCUUUCUAUCUGCCUGAUUCAUGAAUCACUGAAAUAAAGCCAGUAGGCUCUUUCAAAUAUACUCAGUCGAAUUCUUUUAACACCAUCUUCCUCUCAAAGGCUCAGCCCCUGUUUUCCGAAUCCCCCAUCUGCCAGCUCAGGGCACUUGCAGUAAAAAUUGUUCCACGUCUCCCCCCUUUGGGUCAGGAUCUUGUCCUACCCUACUUUUCAGGCUGAAGUCUCCCUCUUUCUCUACAGCAAAAUGACACUCUGCUGUUCCCCAGACACCCCUGCUUGUUUCUGCAUCUGUGCUGCUUUCGCCCUUGAACUGGCCUCCACCCUUCGAGACCCCCUCCUCGCACCCCAGGCCUUGGAAGGGAUCCCUCUCCCUUUGGAAACCUUUUAGCAUUUUGUUUAAAGUCUCAGGGUAUUUAAUACAUAAGUGCUGCAAGAAUCAUUUUUUGAUUGAAUAAACUUACCACUUUUUUUUUUA